rnacentral:rRNA from 1 species
GCAGCAUGGUCUUAGCUUGCUAAGACUGAUGGCGACCGGCGCACGGGUGAGUAACACGUAUCCAACCUGCCGUCUACUCUUGGACAGCCUUCUGAAAGGAAGAUUAAUACAAGAUGGCAUCAUGAGUCCGCAUGUUCACAUGAUUAAAGGUAUUCCGGUAGACGAUGGGGAUGCGUUCCAUUAGAUAGUAGGCGGGGUAACGGCCCACCUAGUCUUCGAUGGAUAGGGGUUCUGAGAGGAAGGUCCCCCACAUUGGAACUGAGACACGGUCCAAACUCCUACGGGAGGCAGCAGUGAGGAAUAUUGGUCAAUGGGCGAGAGCCUGAACCAGCCAAGUAGCGUGAAGGAUGACUGCCCUAUGGGUUGUAAACUUCUUUUAUAAAGGAAUAAAGUCGGGUAUGUAUACCCGUUUGCAUGUACUUUAUGAAUAAGGAUCGGCUAACUCCGUGCCAGCAGCCGCGGUAAUACGGAGGAUCCGAGCGUUAUCCGGAUUUAUUGGGUUUAAAGGGAGCGUAGAUGGAUGUUUAAGUCAGUUGUGAAAGUUUGCGGCUCAACCGUAAAAUUGCAGUUGAUACUGGAUAUCUUGAGUGCAGUUGAGGCAGGCGGAAUUCGUGGUGUAGCGGUGAAAUGCUUAGAUAUCACGAGGAACUCCGAUUGCGAAGGCAGCCUGCUAAGCUGC